UACAGAGGGUGCGAGCGUUGUCCGGAAUCACUGGGCGUAAAGGGCGCGUAGGUGGCGCCCCAAGUCCGUGGUGAAAGCUCGAUGCUCAACAUCGAGUCGGCCACGGAAACUGGGGGGCUCGAGCACUGUAGAGGCAGAUGGAAUUCCGGGUGUAGCGGUGGAAUGCGUAGAGAUCCGGAAGAACACCGGUGGCGAAGGCGGUCUGCUGGGCAGUAGCUGACACUGAGGCGCGACAGCGUGGGGAGCAACAGG
rnacentral:rRNA from 1 species